GAUGAACGCUGGCGGCGUGCUUAACACAUGCAAGUCGAACGGAAAGGCUCCUGCUUGCCGGGGUGCUCGAGUGGCGAACGGGUGAGUAACACGUGGGUGAUCUGCCCUGCACUUCGGGAUAAGCCUGGGAAACUGGGUCUAAUACCGGAUAGGACCACAUUUUGGAUGGUGUGGUGGAAAGUUUUUCGGUGUGGGAUGAGCUCGCGGCCUAUCAGCUUGUUGGUGGGGUAAUGGCCUACCAAGGCGUCGACGGGUAGCCGGCCUGAGAGGGUGUACGGCCACAUUGGGACUGAGAUACGGCCCAGACUCCUACGGGAGGCAGCAGUGGGGAAUAUUGCACAAUGGGCGCAAGCCUGAUGCAGCGACGCCGCGUGGGGGAUGACGGCCUUCGGGUUGUAAACUCCUUUCGCUAGGGACGAAGCGCAAGUGACGGUACCUGGAGAAGAAGCACCGGCUAACUACGUG
rnacentral:rRNA from 1 species